UCUAGAAGAAAAAGGGUAAUACUUAAUAAGGAAACCCUCAUCACCUGGCGGCCCGAUUUCUUCUUAGAGGAACUCGUCUCAUAAUCGUCAAUCCUCGUUAUUUUUAACUUUUUCUUUUCUCUUAUACCGCCGUCUUCAGAAUCUAUUCCUUUUCAUAAAAAAAGAAUUUUACUAAGUCAGGUAAAGGUGAGGAAUAUGAAAAAGAGAAGAUAAGUUACUUAUAAAUACAAUUUUUGGAUUGUUAAUUAACACCUUCAUGAAACAGGAUUUGAUAGUAAUUUUUCACUAAUAUUUUACAAUGAACCAGUAAAAUUGGGUGU
rnacentral:rRNA from 1 species